UUUUUUUUUUUUUUUUUGAGGCAGAGUCUUGCUCUGUUCCCCCAGGCUGGAGUGCAGUGGCGCAAUCUCGGCUCACUGGAACCUCCACGUCCCGGGUUCAAGCAAUUCUGUCUCAGCCUCCCAAGUCGCUGGGACCACAGGUGCACACCACCAUGCUUGGCUAAUUUUUGUUUUUUUUAGCAGAGACAGGGUUUCACCAUAUUGAUCAGGCUAGUCUUGAACUCCUGACCUCAGGUGAUCCACCCACCUUGGCCUCCCAAAGUGCUGGGAUGACAGGCAUGAGCCACUGCGCCCUGCCACGCUAUACCAAUUUGAGACACAAAGUGAGAGUGAAUGGUCUCAGGGAUGAUCAAGAAAAAGCAAUGCCUUUGUGAAUGUCGAGGGUCCUUUGGCUAGAAGAGAGGAUCAGCAUGUAUAUUCCAUAUUCCAUAGGAUCUUCAGUCUCCUGUUUUAGAAGUGCAUCAGACAUAAACUGAUUUGUAUAUUUUUAGGUGAAAUUCACAUUUUUAGGUGAAACAAAGUUAACCAUUUUAAAUUCAAGUUUGGUGGCAUUUAGUCUUUACAGUGUUACCUAGUUCCAAAACGUCUUCCUCAUUCUUUGUGUUUUAACCCUAUCUCCCAGUGUUUAAGUGACACAGUGACAGUGAACUUCUCAUCCAUCAGCAGUCUUGAGCAGACAACCCUGAUGAGUGAGUUCUAGGAUCAAAGCUUCCCAGAGUUUGUGGUGCAUUUUAAUCGGGGCAAACUUGAGGAAGGCAGUGAAACUAAGUAGAGCUCUGAAUAACAGCAUUUCACUCAGUGCAGAGCUGUCCCACACUACUCUGCCCAGUUUCUAGGUCAAAAAACAUACCUUUCCGACACUUUAAUAUGCUAAGGUGUACCAUGAAUGAGAGAGGGGAGGGGGAAAUGGUGAUAUAAGCCACACGGAGCCCAUUAAGAAGCCCUAGGCCCUGCCCCCAAGGUGGUGAGGCUCUGGGCCUCAUGUUUUGAAAGAUCUUUGGAGACCCUGUCUUACCUGGGCACCCUGGGCAAACAGAAACCACUCUGUCUACUGUUGGAGGAUGAAGUAGACAAUCUUCCUAGAUAUGCUUCCCACUUAAUCCCCCCCAUCCCGUCCUAUGGAGAUGUCUAUUGUUUGUAAAGAAUAUGCCACCCAUACAACUGUAUCCAUGUCACCUAACCAGGAAGAUACCCUAAGUAGACAGUUCUGGGGAGUAAGAUAAAAGCCAGCAGAAAGAGUGCUUGGCUUAGACAAGAUGGAGUUUUAGAUGGUGCCCAAAGAGACCUAGCAACCAUCCAACUAGAAAGGGGUCAAGACCAGGAGUGCUCUUUGUGGAGCCAGGGAUCUGUCCAUAUGGCUUUGCAAUGCCUAGUCAUAAAAAACACUCACUGUACUUAAAGUAACCGACGCAAGGUGGGGAGAGGCCCAGGCAUG
rnacentral:lncRNA from 1 species